rnacentral:rRNA from 1 species
AACGAACGCUGGCGGCAUGCCUAACACAUGCAAGUCGAACGAGACCUUCGGGUCUAGUGGCGCACGGGUGCGUAACGCGUGGGAACCUGCCCUUAGGUUCGGAAUAACUCCUCGAAAGGGGUGCUAAUACCGGAUAAUGUCUUCGGACCAAAGAUUGAUCGCCUUUGGAUGGGCCCGCGUUGGAUUAGCUAGUUGGUAGGGUAAAAGCCUACCAAGGCGACGAUCCAUAGCUGGUCUGAGAGGAUGAUCAGCCACACUGGGACUGAGACACGGCCCAGACUCCUACGGGAGGCAGCAGUGGGGAAUAUUGGACGAUGGGCGAGAGCCUGAUGCAGCAAUGCCGCGUGAGUGAUGAAGGCCUUAGGGUUGUAAAGCUCUUUUACCCGGGAUGAUAAUGACAGUACCGGGAGAAUAAGCACCGGCUAACUCCGUG